rnacentral:rRNA from 1 species
UGGGGAAUAUUGCACAAUGGGCGCAAGCCUCAUGCAGCCAUGCCGCGUGUAUGAAGAAGGCCUUCGGGUUGUAAAGUACUUUCAGUCGGGAGGAAGGUGGUAAGGUUAAUAACCUUAUCAAUUGACGUUACCGACAGAAGAAGCACCGGCUAACUCCGUGCCAGCAGCCGCGGUAAUACGGAGGGUGCAAGCGUUAAUCGGAAUUACUGGGCGUAAAGCGCACGCAGGCGGUUGAUUGAGUCAGAUGUGAAAUCCCCGGGCUUAACCCGGGAAUUGCAUCUGAUACUGGUCAGCUAGAGUCUUGUAGAGGGGGGUAGAAUUCCAUGUGAAGCGGUGAAAUGCGUAGAGAUGUGGAGGAAUACCGGUGGCGAAGGCGGCCCCCUGGACAAAGACUGACGCUCAGGUGCGAAAGCGUGGGGAGCAAACAGG